rfam:Glycine soja cultivar W05 scaffold2183_13, whole genome shotgun sequence.
GGACAGUGACGAUUUUGAUUCAAAGGUCUCGUUCGUCGUAAUUGGCCUUUUGGGCCUUGCCGACCUUCCUUAUUAUUCCGAGUCC